CCUACGGGAGGCUGCAGUGAGGAAUAUUGGUCAAUGGACGAGAGUCUGAACCAGCCAAGUAGCGUGAAGGAUGACUGCCCUAUGGGUUGUAAACUUCUUUUAUAUGGGAAUAAAAUGUUCCACGUGUGGGAUUUUGUAUGUACCAUAUGAAUAAGGAUCGGCUAACUCCGUGCCAGCAGCCGCGGUAAUACGGAGGAUCCGAGCGUUAUCCGGAUUUAUUGGGUUUAAAGGGAGCGUAGGUGGAUUGUUAAGUCAGUUGUGAAAGUUUGCGGCGCAACCGUAAAAUUGCAGUUGAAACUGGCAGUCUAGAGUACAGUAGAGGUGGGCGGAAUUCGUGGUGUAGCGGUGAAAUGCUUAGAUAUCACGAAGAACUCCGAUUGCGAAGGCAGCUCACUGGACUGCAACUGACACUGAGGCUCGAAAGUGUGGGUAUCAAACAGGAUUAGAUACCCCUGUAGUC
rnacentral:rRNA from 1 species